AACGCACAUUGCGCCCCUUGGUAUUCCGAGGGGCAUGCCUGUCCGAGCGUCAUUGCUACCCUCAAGCGCGGCUUGUGUGUUGGGCCGACGUCCGCCCCGUUCGGGGGGGACGGGCCCGAAAGGCAGCGGCGGCACCGCGACCGGUCUUCGAGCGUAUGGGGCUCUGUCACCCGCUCCGUGGGACCGGCCGGCGCCUGCCUGGCAACCAUCUUUUUAUGUUGACCUCGGAUCAGGUAGGGAUACCCGCUGAACUUAA
rnacentral:misc_RNA from 1 species